rnacentral:rRNA from 1 species
UUGGAGGGCAGUCUGGUGCCAGCAGCCGCGGUAAUUCCAGCUCCAAUAGCGUAUAUUAAGGUUGUUGCAGUUAAAAAGCUCGUAGUUGAAUUUCGGGAUUCAUCCGUUGGUCGGGCUUCACGGUCCGUACUGGUGUGAUGGGUUCCUACCUUCUGAAUAACCGGCAUGCCAUUAAUUUGGUGCGCCGGGGAAGCAGAACUAUUACCUUGAAAAAAUUAGAGUGCUUAAAGCAGGCAAGUGCCUGAAUAGGUUAGCAUGGAAUAAUAAAAUAGGACGGCAUGGUUCUAUUUUGUUGGUUUCUAGGAUCACCGUAAUGAUUAAUAGGGAUAGUUGGGGGCAUUAGUAUUCAAUUGUCAGAGGUGAAAUUCUUGGAUUUAUUGAAGACUAACUUCUGCGAAAGCAUUUGCCAAGGAUGUUUUCAUUAAUCAAGAACGAAAGUUAGGGGAUCGAAGACGAUCAGAUACCGUCGUAGUCUUAACCAUAAACUAUGCCGACUAGGGAUCGGACGAUGUUAAUUUUUUAAUGACUCGUUCGGCGCCUUACGGGAAAC